rnacentral:tRNA from 1 species
GCCCGCCUAGCUCAAUCGGAUAGAGCGUCAGACUCUUACAAGGCGGGAUCUGAAGGCUGCGAGUUCGACCCUCGCGGUGGGCU